rnacentral:rRNA from 1 species
GCAAUGGAGCGGCUAACYCUGAYCCAGCCAUGCCGCGUGYAGUGAAGACUGCCCUAUGGGUUUGUAAACUGCUUYUAUACAUGGAAAAGAAACCUGGUAUGUAUACCAGCUAUGACGGUACUGUAAGAAUAARGACCGGCUAACUCCGUGCCAGCAGCCGCGGUAAUACGGAGGGUCCGGAWCGUUAUCCGGAAUCAUUGGGUUUAAAGGGUCCGCAGGCGGUCAAUUAAGUCAGAGGUGAAAUCCCA